CCGCCCCUGCUGCCGCCGGUAGUCGGUAGAGAUCCAUCCACGAGAUCUUCAUCCCAUUGCGCCCCUCACGAAGGCAGCCGUCCGUUGCUGCAGAUCUCCGCACAACACUCGUUUUUCCAAUAGGUAAGCAUCGGCUCCUCCUGAGAUAAACUUUUAUGUACUGCUGUGUGCUUGUACAUUGCUGAACUUUGAACCAUAUGUCAUUGCUGAACUCUGAAAAUUACGGUAACACUUUCUUAUCUUCUGCUAAGAUUUGUUGAUUUUACAGUUCUUAUUCAUAUUUCUCAGCAUCUCAAUUUGGAUACAAAGAUUGGUGCUACAAAACAUAGCGAGCCAUCUGACAUCCAUGCUCAUAGCUGAUUUUCAUUUAUAUAUUCUUCGUACUAUUAUGAACUCUUUAUCUCCUUUAAAUUAGAAAAUAAUUAUUCGUUUAACAUGUGAUAUGGGUUAAAAUUCAUAUGUUGUUAGCAUUGUGUGACUUCCUAAUUUCUAGGUGGUUCAGUUUUGUUAUUUAAAGCCACGACCCAUUGUGUGACUUCCAGUAUUUUGGGUGAAUUGGCGUGGUCAAAUGGAGGCUCCUGGAGGUUCAUAACCUCUAUUUUUUAUAGGAAGCACUUUUGAUUGUCAAUACGUAUUUCUAAAUUAUAUAGUCCUAACGAUCGAGUUGGCUUCAACUUCGCUGUAGAACUGAAUGUUAUUUGUGCUGUAACAUCAUUAGUUUCUGAUGCUUCAUGGUUUAAUUUUGGGUCGACGGGCUUCGUGCUGCAGGAGCGGGUGUACAUGAUGGUGAGCUUGCAGACAGUGAGUACGCGGUACUACCUGGCAACAAGGCUGAGGAGGUGGGCGAGCGGAGGCGCCGAGGUGGACCCUGAGUCUACUCAGUGUUUAAGGACACACAUUCCAAUUUUAUUCUGCAUCACUAUUGAACUGCAUCGUCAUCUACACUAGAUAUUUAUGGAUAACAGUGUCUUUGUUUGAUAUAAUUUUUUAUGUGAGCACGGUGUUGUUUUCCUUUUGCAUGAAUAUGGCAUUAGCAUUCAAACCUUAGGCUCAACAUAUACUCUCAUCUUCCUCUGCAUCCACAUACCUUCAACUACUUGAAGUUGCAUACUGUUUCCAGAGGGGAGAAUUGCAAGUUCCGAUCACAUUCAAACAUUAGGGGCACCUUCUCAUAGUGCCUCACACCGCAUUGUUUGGACAUGUGAAUUCCAACCGUAGAGUCAACCACCUCGGUGCAGUGGCUAGAUAGUUUCAGGAUCCAGACUUUCAAUACUUUUAUGAGAUGUUCGUGUUCACGCUGGUUGCUCGCAUAAUAUUUGUUCUUUUGACAAGUUCAUGUAGUAUACUAACCAAGUACAUAACUUGCAGACCUUUGGCCUUUACUUUAUGAUUUGAUUUGGGAAGCCGAGUUAUCUAUAUUGAACACAUUUUUUUGAAGGAUGGUUGAUACAUGUCUACACAUUUUGUCAGAGCAAUUUGCGGUGAAAGAAGCAGCCUCAAACUGAUAAGAAGGCAACAUUUAUUUCUAUGAAGUAACGGUUAUUGUUGUAGAUCAAGGAUGAUAAGAAGGCAACUAAUGUACCAGGAGGUACAGGUACUACAACAUACUACAUACAUUAAGUUUAUUGUUUCUCUCUUAGAAAUAUACAUAGAUCAUUGAGCCUUGACUAGAGCGCCAGAUUUAUGCCUGAACUUAUAGCAUUACUAGAUACUCCCUCCAUCCGAAAAAGCUUGUCCCAAACUUGUCUUUCAAAUGAAUGUAUCUAGCACUAACUUGGUGCUAUAUACAUCCAUUUGAGGGACAAGCUUUUUCGGGCGGUGGGAGUAACAUUUCGUAUCUCGUUGAUAAAACUGAACUCCACAUACUGUAGUUUAUAAUUAAAAAUAUGAAAAUGACACAAAAUGAUCUGAAGCGCACAUACAUUGCUUGGGAGUUAACAUACACAUAUCAGUUUGGUGUUAUCCCUUUGGUGGUCACAAUCUGAAGAUAACAUGGCAUAAACUGAACUUCACAUACUACAAUUUAUUUGGUCAGAAGUUGUACAUUUUUGUUCUACUUCAUCAGAUAACAUACAAACACAAUUAUUUGUACAAUUAUUUUCAAACUUUGAAGAUCACAUCAGCUAACUUCCUAUUAGAACAAAUACAACUUCACAUUGGCUGAUCCUACUACAGUUUCAUGCAUGUAAGAUGUUGAAUAAAAUUUGUAGAUUUGCCUGCCAUGGUGAAAUGCUUAUUCUAUGUAUAUCUAGAUAUGUCUGCAUGAUGAUUCCUUUCAGCAUUUUAUAAAUAUUUGACCGCAUGUAUGAUAGAACUAUUUUAUGUGUGUUAUGGACAUAUGUCAUAAACACUCGAUUCUUAUGCUUCUCUUGGCUGCCAAUCUCCCUAUGAGAGCUUCAAAGCACUUGAGCUGACUGCACUUUCUUCCAAAUUCUUGUAGAGUAUUUUUAGGUAAUCAGCAACCUAAUACGCAUGGAUGUGAUGACUUUGAAGUGUUAUGGAGCAUUUGGAUGUCUGCGGUAUUUUGGACCAGCCAACUCAAUUGUAAUCAUGAAUCGUGUUACAGACCAUUUGCUGCUUAAGUGUUAUGUAGUAGAGAUCUUGUGCUCAUGGAUGUGACUCAAGUGUUUUGGACCAUUUAGUGUUUGAACUAUAUAUUUUAGACCAGCAAAUAGGGGCCUUUUAUGUGACUUGUGUUUUCUGGAUGGUUGCCAAGAUGGCCAAACUUUGCUUUGUGAAGAUUGACUUGUGUUUGAACCUGUGCACAAUAUAUAUAUAUGUGUAUUUUUGUUACCAUAUUAUCAAUGAUUGUGUAAUAUGUGUUCAUCUUGAUCCCGUUUUGUGCAUCAUCAUUGAAAAUUGCAUAUAACAUUUGAAUUAGAGCAGUAUCCAAUUGUUGUUUUGGCUGUGCACCAUCUUACCAACAAUUUAUAUGUCGGUAAAAACAUUCCAACGCGGAAAGUGUUGCCAAAAGUAUGCCCAUAACUAGACAAACCAUGUGUCGGCAAUGCUAAACACCUAUUUAGACAAACUAAGUGUCGGCAUAGGUAGGGUGUGCGUUGACUUACCAUGUGUCGGAAUAGGUAGGGUGUAUGUUGACUUACCAUGUGUCGGCAAAGGUAGGGUGUGCGGUGACUUACCAUGUGUCGGCAUAGGUAGGGUGUAUGCUGACAGAAAAAGUGUCGGCAAGUGAACUUCUGUCGGCAAUACCUUUCCCCACAGCAAGUCCUCCAACUGUUUUCUCUUUUGUCAGCAUAUGUGUUAGCUACAAUUUAUCUGUCGGCAAAGGUACC
rnacentral:lncRNA from 1 species